AUACGUAGGUGGCGAGCGUUGUCCGGAAUUACUGGGUGUAAAGGGCGUGUAGGCGGGGAUGCAAGUCAGAUGUGAAAUACCGCGGCUUAACCGCGGGGCUGCAUCUGAAACUGUGUCUCUUGAGUGUCGGAGAGGAAAGCGGAAUUCCCAGUGUAGCGGUGAAAUGCGUAGAGAUUGGGAGGAACACCGGUGGCGAAGGCGGCUUUCUGGACGACAACUGACGCUGAGGCGCGAAAGCGUGGGGAGCAAACAGGAUUAGAUACCCUGGUAGUCCACGCCGUAAACGAUGGAUACUAGGUGUAGGAGGUAUCGACCCCUUCUGUGCCGGAGUUAACACAAUAAGUAUCCCACCUGGGGAGUACGGCCGCAAGGUUGAG
rnacentral:rRNA from 1 species